CAAGGAAUUAAGAGUUUAUGGGGGAUACCUUGGCAUUCAGAAGCGAUGAAGGACGUGGUUACCGGCGAAACACUUCGGGGAGUUGGAAACAAGCUAUGAUCCGGAGGUCUCCGAAUGAGGAAACUUUUUAUACUACUUAUUGAAUACAUAGAUAAGCAAGAGCGAACCUAGGGAACUGAAACAUCUUAGUACCUAGAGGAAAAGAAAGUAAAAACGAUUCCCUUAGUAGCGGCGAGCGA
rnacentral:rRNA from 1 species